rnacentral:rRNA from 1 species
UGAGCGACACGGUGCUUGACAUUAGCCUUACGGCGUGACGGGUGAGUAAUGCUAUAGGAAUCUGCCUAUUAGUCGGGGGACAACUGUUUCGAAAGGAACGCUAAUACCUGCAUACGUCCUACGCGGAGAAAAGCAGGGAGAUCUUCGGACCUUGUGCUAAUAGAUUGACGCCUAAAGAUCGGAUUAGCUAGUUGGUGGGGUAAAGGCCUACCAAGGCGACGAUCUGUAGCGGGUCUGAGAGGAUGAUCCAGCCACACUGGGACUGAGACACUGGCCCAGACUCCUACGGGAGUGCAAGCAGUGGGGAAUAUUGGACAAUGGGCGAAAGCCUGAUCCAGCCAUGCCGCGUGUGUGAAGAAGGCCUUUUGGUUGUAAAGCACUUUAACGCGAGGAGGAGGCUUCUUUGGUUAAUACCCAAAGUCAAGUGGACGUUACUCGCAGACAUAAGCACCGGCAUAACUCUGUGCCAGCAGCCGACGGUAACACAGAGGGUGCAAGACGUUAAAUCGAGAUUUACUGGGCCGUCCACAGCGUGCGUCAGGACGGCUACUU